rnacentral:rRNA from 1 species
AUACGUAGGUGGCAAGCGUUGUCCGGAAUUAUUGGGCGUAAAGCGCGCGCAGGUGGUUCCUUAAGUCUGAUGUGAAAGCCCCCGGCUCAACCGGGGAGGGUCAUUGGAAACUGGGGAACUUGAGUGCAGAAGAGGAUAGUGGAAUUCCAAGUGUAGCGGUGAAAUGCGUAGAGAUUUGGAGGAACACCAGUGGCGAAGGCGACUUUCUGGUCUGUAACUGACGCUGAGGCGCGAAAGCGUGGGGAGCAAACAGGAUUAGAUACCCUGGUAGUCCACGCCGUAAACGAUGAGUGCUAAGUGUUAGGGGGUUUCCGCCCCUUAGUGCUGCAGCUAACGCAUUAAGCACUCCGCCUGGGGAGUACGGUCGCAAGACUGAAACUCAAAUGAAUUGGCGGGG